rnacentral:rRNA from 1 species
CCUACGGGGCGCAGCAGUGAGGAAUAUUGGUCAAUGGCCGGAAGGCUGAACCAGCCAAGCCGCGUGAAGGACGAAGGUGCCAAGCAUUGUAAACUUCUUUUGUCAAGGGACAAAAUCAGGCUCGAGAGCCUGACCGAGGGUACUUGAAGAAAAAGCAUCGGCUAACUCCGUGCCAGCAGCCGCGGUAAUACGGAGGAUGCGAGCGUUAUCCGGAUUUAUUGGGUUUAAAGGGUGCGUAGGCGGGCUGUUAAGUCAGCGGUAAAAGCCCGGGGCUAAACCCCGGCGAGCCGUUGAAACUGGCUGGCGUGAGAUGGCGGGAGGGAUGCGGAAAGCGGAGUGGAGCGGGUAAAUGCUUAGAUAUUGCGCAGAACUCCGAUUGCGAAGGCAGCAUACCGGCGGCGAUCUGACGCUGAGGCACGAAAGCGUGGGUAUCGAACAGGAUUAGAUACCCUUGUAGUC